GACGAACGCUGGCGGCGUGCCUAAUACAUGCAAGUAGAACGCUGAAGGAGGAGCUUGCUUCUCUGGAUGAGUUGCGAACGGGUGAGUAACGCGUAGGUAACCUGCCUGGUAGCGGGGGAUAACUAUUGGAAACGAUAGCUAAUACCGCAUAAUAGUAGAUGUCGCAGGACAUUUGCUUAAAAGGUGCAAUUGCAUCACUACCAGAUGGACCUGCGUUGUAUUAGCUAGUUGGUGAGGUAACGGCUCACCAAGGGAACGAUACAGAGCCGACCUGGGAGGGGGGUCGGCCACCCUGGGACUGGGACACGGCCCAGACUCCUUCGGGAGGCAGCCGUAGGGGAUCUUCGGCCAUGGGCGGAAGGCUGGCCGAGCAACGCCGCGUGGGUGAAGAAGGUUUUCGGAUCGUAAAGCUCUGUUGUAAGAGAAGAACGAGUGUGAGAGUGGAAAGUUCACACUGUGACGGUAUCUUAACAGAAAGGGACGGCUAACUACGUG
rnacentral:rRNA from 1 species